UCUGACCUGCCCAAUGAAUAAUUUAAUGGCCGCGGUAUAUUAACCGUGCAAAGGUAGCAUAAUCAUUAGUUUUUUAAUUGAAGGCUAGAAUGAAGGGUUGAAUGAAAAAAUUACUGUCUCUAGAAGAAUUAUUUAGAAUUUAAUUUUUAAGUGAAAAGGCUUAAAUAUUUAUGAAAGACGAGAAGACCCUAUAGAGUUUUAUAUUAAUUUUAAGGUUGGUUUUUUAGAAUUAAGAAAAAAGGUUUAAGAGUAGUAUUUGAUUGGGGUGAUUAAAAAAUUAAAUUAACUUUUUUUUAUUUAAAACAUUUAUUUAUGAGUUUUUGAUCCUAGAAUAUAGAUUGAAAGAUUAAAUUAUCUUAGGGAUAACAGCGUAAUUUUUUUUARAGUUCUUAUCGAAAAAAGGGAUUGCGACCUCGAUGUUGGAUUAAAAAAUAAUUUUGGCGGARAAGCUAAAAUAUUAGGUCUGUUCGACCUUUAAAAUUUUACAUGAUCUGAGUUUAAACCGGCGUGAG
rnacentral:rRNA from 1 species